rnacentral:lncRNA from 1 species
CAGGAGUUGGUGGCUUCUUGUAUGGAGUUGAUGGAGGUGUUUCUACUGGAGGGUGGCCAGGGUAGUGACCCUGGGGUGGUGAAGGUUCUUUUGUCGGUGGUGGCCUCACUAUUAUUGGCGGUAGAGUUGGUGGCUUGGGCGUUGGCGGUGGUCUCACUACUCUUGGGGGUAGAGUUGGUGUCUUGUGUUUUGGUGGUGGAGGUGGCUUAACAGGAGUUGGUGGCUUGUAUUCUGGGGGUGGUUUCUCCACCGGAGGUGGCUUAUAAACUGGAGUUGGUGGCUUGUAUUCUGGGGGUGGCUUCUCCACUGGUGGUGGCCUGUAAACAGGGGUUGGUGGCUUAUAUUCUGGGGGAGGCUUCUCCACUGGAGGCGACUUAUAAACAGGGGUUGGUGGCUUGUAUUCCGGGGGUGGCUUCUCUACGGGAGGUGGCCUGUAAACAGGGGUUGGUGGCUUCUCCACCGGAGGUGGCUUAUAAACGGGGGUUGGUGGCUUGUAUUCUGGGGGUGGUUUCCCCAGUGGUGGAGACUUGUAAACAGGAAGAGGUGGUUUGUGCUCAUAUGGGGGUGGCUUGUGGUCAUUAGCAAGUGAGGGAGUGGUGAGGACCACCAAUCCAAGGAACAACACGAGUGAGCAAGCAGAAGACAUGUUUGGGCUCUGGUGAUGCACAAGUAGAAGAAAUGGGAACCAUUUAUAAUGCUUCGAGACCUUGGUUAGCACCAAAAUAUGUCAAAAUCUUGAUUACUUCAUUUCAUACAUAGAUUUAAAAUUAUUUCAAUCAACCAUGAUCCUUAAUUUUCUGGGUGGUCCAUAAAUGUAAUGGGGUCAAUUUGGGACCUAACAAGCUGAGAAGUUUGACAAUGCUGCAAGGCUUCAUCCGAAAGUCCGGGGAAGAAUAUUAGGAGUUACACUCCGUUUCCUUUUUUGGGUGCAUUUUUCUCCUUUAACAUUCUAUUCCCUUUUACAUUAGCAUUUGAUCUUAGCUCAUUUCAAGUACAAGUUUCUUGAACCCUAUACCAUUGUCAAAGUUGAGUAACCAUCUCUACUUUGCUCAAGAAACAUAAAAGACAAUGACAAUAAAGAAAAAGGAGAGAGACCAUACGUGACUUGGUUUAUAGGUGGCUUUGUGUUGACAUUUGAGUAUGGAAGCCGACAUGCAUCUUAGCUUCGAUUUUAAUUAAAUUUGUACAUUAGUGUCUGUGUCAUUCAUUUUGGUAUAAAAGGUCUCUUGAUUUCGUAAGUUUGGUAAGAACCGUUGAAAAUAGCAGUAGCAGCACAUGGUCCACUUUCUUUCACAAAAUAAUUUUAAAAGUUUAGAAGCAUAGGAGGUAACAUUAGUGGCCUUGUGGCUCAGCCACGAGUACUAUGUGGUGCUCGAGAAAUUGAGUUUAAUUUCCUUCCGAUAGUUCAUGAUAAGGUCCGUCACUGUCCUGAGACAGAUUGCGUUUUUUCUUUUUUCCUUUUUUAGUGUUUUAUUGACUAGCUAGGUGUGACUUUUCCUACUUUAAGGCACGAGGCAGAAAAGAAACUGGGAUUUAGUGCUUAAGAAGGCAAAUUUAAUUCGAUUUGGAUCUAAAAUUUGCCAGCAACAUGAGAUUUUCCAGCCUAUCGUUGCUCCACAUAUAGACAAGGCACUUGUAGAAGUGGCUUGUUUGUAGCCAUUCCCGAUAUUUGGACUCACUUGAUUCACCGGACACUUUGAUAAAAUUUAAUAUUUAUUAUUUAAUAAUUUAAAUUGAUUUAAAAUUAAAUUAUACCGAAGUUGUGAUUUAAAAAUUAUUAUUUAAUUCUUACUUUUAAAUAUGAAGAUUAUUUGAUAAAAAUAAUUUAAAAUUUAUUAUAAAUUAUCAAAUUAACAUAUUUAUCCUUAUAAAUUAUAAUUAAAACAGAAAAGGUCAAAUGAUUUGAGUAUCCAUAGAUGUGGUAAAAUAAUAAAAAAGAUUAUAAAAACAAUUAUGAUAAAUAAAGAUAAAAAGUAAAAUGAAUAUGUGAAUUUAAAGAAUAAAUUAAUUAUUUUUAUUUAUUACUUAAAAUUAUUUUUGACUUUAAAUUAUAUUAUUAAAUUAUUUUACCAAACAUACUUAAUUUAGUUAAUAAUUUAAAUUUAAUUUAAGUUAUUAAAUUGAUUCACCAAAUACCCACUUAAUCAAAGACUGAAGUAUACAUUAUUUGGCCAAAUGCAGCUAUUGAAAUUUAACUUUUUCCAAACUUAUUCAUUUUGUGGAAAUAUUUUUAGAAAUGAUUUUAAAAAUGCACUAUUCUGUGUGUUGAUUUUAUAUUUUGGCAUUAAUCCAACAUAGAAAACGGUUCUUAUUUUCGCUGUUAAAUAGGUACCAGAUCCUUAAUUAGUGCCGUGAAUCCGGCAGCUUCCAAUGAGUAAUUUGGACUUGGGUAUUGACAAUGUGUGGCCAUGCUUCUACUAUUUUAUUAUUCUUGAAACAUAUAUGAUAUAUUGGACUUUAUACAGGGAAAAAAAAAAAAAAAAGUCUUCACCAAAAAUGAUUCCUCCUAAAAAAUAGACUCCACAAACUAGGUUUAACAGGAAAAUGAUUCUAAUCUAGUAGUUUCCAGCCACAUGAGCAUUUACGUAACAAUAGUAUAGUUGAUAACGACUUUUAUUUUAUUUAUUUUUAAAUAGUUAAAGGGAUAAUUUUUGAGCUUAAAUUUUAUUUUUUUAUUUAGAAACAUUUUACUUUAUUUUUUAAUCAUAAUUCUAUUAUAUUAAUGUUUUAUUUUCUAUUUUUUAAUAUAUAAGGAGAUACUAAAUUUAUGUGAUUAUUUUUUAAAAAUUUAGUAUAUGAAAUUAAAUAAUUGGAUAUAUAUACAUAUAUCAUAUAAUGUUUUUUAAGUGUGAUUUUUGAACUUUUUAGUCAUUUUAUAAGUUUAAGCUUUUGAUUUUUUUUUUUAAACUUUGGUAUUUUUUAUUUUAUAUAAAACUAUUUUGAUUUAAUUUUAUUAAAAAAUAUUGGUAUUAUAAAUUAUUGUAUUAAUUAUUUUUUUAUAUUAUAAUGUAACUGGUAUAUACUAAAAAAUGUAUGCAAGUUCAAUUUAAGUUUCAAAUUAAAAAAUUUCAUUUAAAUAUUUAAUAACUUGUUCAUAAUAAAAAAUUAAACAACAUAAUACAAAUGAAAAGAAACAUAAAAGAAAAAGGAAAAAAUGGUCCUCUCUGUGUGUCACAUUACUAGGUCAUCCUCUUUUUCUAUGACCCUUACAAUAGAAUGGCAUAUUUGUCAAAUCUACUUAUGAAAGUUGGAAUGUUUCUACAUGUGUAGGGUCCAUUGGAACUAAUGGAGGAAAGGCUUAACGUCUAUGUAAAUCACAACGUUGCCUAGGUGGGCAUAGAUCUAGUUGUGUAACAUGAGAUGGUGUGAGAGUACAAUAUAUGCAUUGUAGUCUCUAUGGGAAGAGAGAUAGGUAAUGGUAGGGUGGUAGACGGUAGGGUGAUCUCUAAUAUAAUGACAUUUGAUGUGGUGGCUUCUAAGAGAGGAGAUAUAAGAGAUGGUAGAAUGACAUUUGGUGUAAUGGUCUCUAGUGCAAUGACAUGUGAUAUGGUGACCUAUAAAGAAGAGAUAUAGGUGAUGGUGAAGUGGUAUGUGGUGUAGUGACCUUUGAGAUAGAAAAUAGAGGUAAUGGUAGGUUGGCAGGUGGAGUGGUCUUUGGUGUAGUGACAUCAAUUAUAAAUGUCUCCAAGGGAGGAAAUAAAGGUGAUGGUAGGUAGUAAAUGUUGAGGUGGUCUUUGAUAUGUUAUGCUCUAAGAGAGAAGGUAUAGGUAAUGAUAAUAGGGAAUUUGACAUAGUGGUGUUGGAAAUAAAAAGUGAAAGUGACCGUAGAGGUGAAAGGGCAAGUGUAAAAGCCUCAAGUACGAAUGGAGUAAUUAAUGUGGAUGGUGCUAACAUAGUCUUAGGUGGAUACACAAAUAGUCAUAGUCAUCAACUAGCUUGCCCACCAUCUGUCUUUCUGCUAGUGAUAGGUUACAUCUUAAUAGUAAUGGCCAACAUAAGUGGUGUGGAUCCGAUUUUUUUACGUGUGUCCCCACUCAAUCGACAAGACUUAUUUUUUAUUAGUGAAAAAUUAAUUUUGGAAAAGUUGGAGUCACCACUUAUUUUAUUUUAUUUUAAAAAGGAAAGUAAAACAAGAAAGAGAACUCUAAAGAAGUGACUUCAUAGUUUUGGAAAAGUUAGUCUUAAAAAAUCCAAGUCUUGGUCCGGAGAUCAGGUUACUUAUUGGGAAGAUACCUCUAAGAGGUAAUACCCCUCUAAACCCUAAAGAAGUCUCUAAUGACUAAGUUGAGGAGAAUGUGGUAAUUAAUUAAUUGAUUGAGGGUACCUAGGUAGACUAAGGUGAUUUCAGAAUUAACAUACCAAGCUAGAAAGUCCAAUCAUGAUCAUAAAAGAGAGUCAAAGUAUGUACCUGAACUGCUUCUCAAACGCUAUCAUAAAACAUCAAAGUUAGUAUAGAAAUAUAACACAUAAUAUUUGUUUUAUCCAAGCAAAUAAAGCAUACAUCUAAGCACCCAAGAAUCACAUCAAGUAUGGAUAUAGUCAUCAAUAGCAUACGUGUCCAUAGAACUAUCGAAAGUAAAUGUGGAGGAGCGUAUCUGGACAACAUAGAUAACUUAUAAUGUGCUUCCACAAGACAUGGGGGUUAGAUAAAAGUUAUAAUAAUAAUUAGUAAAUGAAAGAAUUCUAGCAUGUUUGGUAUCUAAAUAACAUAGCAAAAAUGAACAAGAGUACACGAAAACAUCAAUUAUCACACGAGUCAUAUUGGCUAGUAUUUAAUCAAUAAACCAACAAUAAAUGACUAUAAACAUAUAAAAUGACAUAUUCAAAGAGACCCAAACAUAAAGAGCCUAGAACACAAGCUUACACUAAAUUUAGAAAACUAAAACAUGGAAUUUUAAAAGCAUAAAUUAGCAAACAAAUUGAUGGAAACUAAAUUUAGAUAACUUAAGAAUAUUUUUCUUAUCCUUCAAUUUAAAUCAGUAAGCCAACAAUAAAAAAUUAUAGAAACAUGGAAUAUCAAGAUCAAUGGGAUACCUAAACUAUAAUUUUUAAAAGAAAAUAAACUAAGCAUAAUAUCUACAAAGCAACUAAACUAACAUUUUUUUAAAAAUAAAUUAAACAUGACAUUAAUGGAGUAACCAAACUAAAUUAAAGUAAACUAAAAACAUUUAUGAAUUUUCAAACAUGGAAUCAGCUUUCUUAGUAAAUUAAAAUUAUUAAAAUAAAAUCUAAGCUUAAAAAUGAAUUAAAUACUAACUAAAGCAAAUCUAAAACCAAAUAUUUAACACAUAGGAUCAAUUAUAUUAACAAACUAAAAUUUUAUAAGAACACUUAAACCUAAAGUUGAAUUAAAAACUAACCAAUUUUUAAAACUAGAUCUUUAACCCAUAGGAUCAAUUAUAUUAACAAAUAAAUAAUAAAUAAUAAAUAAAUAAAACUCAAACCUAAAGAUGAACUAGAAAUGUACCAAAGUAAAUUCAAAACAAGAUCUUUAACACAUUAGAUCAAUUAUAUUGACUAACUAAAAAAAAAAAAAAAAAACACUCAAACCUGAAACGAUGUAUUAGAAACUAACCAAAGCAAAUUUAAAAUAGAGUCUUUAACACAUAGGAUCAAUUAUAAUCACUAACUUAAAUUACAAUUUUUGAAACAUGAACUAAUUAGUGUUGGAUUAAUUAAACUAAUUAACUAAAAAAAACUAUAAACUAGAAUACGGUGAAUCAAGAAUUCAAAUCAACAAACAUAAAAUAUGGGUACAAUGAAAUGAAAAUCUAUUAAACUAAUAAGACGGAAAUAUGACAAACUCAUGAACCCACAUUUUGAUCAACUAGGAAAUAGAAAUUAAUAGACCUGUAGCAUGGAUACAAUGAAAUGAGAUCAGUUAAAUUUAUUUGCCGAAAUUCUAAAAAACACAUACACUCAAAUAAGAUCUAAAUCUAAGACCAAGCAAAACUCAAACUUUCUCAAUCUAAUGCAAUGAAUCAAAACUAAAAUUAAAUAGAAAUCAAACCAUUUUUUUUUUAUCUAAUAUAAUAAAUCAAAGCUAAAACUAAACAAAAUCGAAUUUUCUUAAUUUAAUAUGAUGAGUCAAAGCUAAAAUUGAACAAAGUUCAAACCUUUAUAUAAUGGAUCAAAGUUAAAUCUAAAUGAAAUCCAUACUUCCACAAUUUGAUAUAACAAAUCAAAAAUAAAACUAGAUAAAAAAAAAGUCAAAGCCUUUCAACUUGACAUAGUGAAUCCAAACUGAAACGAAACAAAAUUUUAACUUUUCCAAUGAAACCCAAUAUAGAAAAAAUUAGCUUACCUUCUUUAGAAUAUAUGUAUGGGCCAUAAAGAAGUCACCUUGGUGCAUGUGUUCCUCACUUUGACGCCAAUGGACGACUUUCUAUGGUAGCAAAUGGAGAUCCUUUUUGGUGGUAACUUGCGUGUGGAAACCUAUGGUACAACCAAUGUCAUCUUUUAUUGUGCGUGUGGACCAAUUUCUUCUCGAGAACUCAUGUGUGUUGUGCUCAAAAUAUGUUGCCUGUGAGAAUCUAUUGGUAUACCCCACAUAUGGUUUCCUUGAGAGAAUCUGUGGUUGUGUGUGGGCGUUUUCUUCAUGACAGCAUGUGGAUGUUCCCAUCUAUGGUAGAUUGGUUGUGAUGCUUUAGUGCAUGGUCUCCAUAGGAAUAGUGUGUUAUGGAAAUUUGGUUUUUUUAUUGGUGCAUGUUGUCUAGACUUUCCCAUAUGCGUGGACUGUGUGUUCAUGCUUUUCUUUUCGGAUGGUCGCCUGUGUUAAUGUGUGGCGGUGUCUACAAUGAAAGAUACAACCCUUUCUCUCCUUCUGCGUGAUAGAAAAGUCAAUCCCCCAUGGUGCGACUAUGUUCCCUCGUCCUUUUUGAAAAAUUUUGGUGUUUUCCCCCCAAAAAAUCCCCUCCAAAAAUCUAAUUAUAAAUGUCUGCUUUGGCCUAAUGUGUGUGCUACUUUUUUUUUCCUUCUUUUUAUGGUUGUGCGUGCUUUUCUUGAUACGUGGCUUAUUUCUUAAGGAUAUGAUUCGCUCCCAAUUGGUGUCUCAGCUGAUUCAUGUCCUUUCAAUGGUCCCUGACAGUGGUGCCAUUUGAUUCGUGUCCAGCUGGUGUCCCUUGAUUGUGGUCCUCAGAAGGGAGUAAUCAAUAAAAUUUAUAACCUAUUACACCAUGUAUUAGGAUAGCCUUAGCUAGCAUAGCAUAGUGGCUCUAGGGUCGUUUAUUGGGAUGAGUUUUCACUUCACAAUUGAUAUUAAUUCAAGAGCUGAAUUGGUGCCUUUUCAUUUCAAGGUUAGCUUUAAAAGAAAACAUAAUCUUUGGUGGAAAAAGGUUUGGUUUUAAACUAACCAAAAAUAGUAACUGAUUUUACUUACAAAGAAAAGUGUUCUUUGGAGUUUAGAUCACUAGGCUCAGGUUCCUCAUACAAAAAGGAGAGUUCCGAUCAUUUGUUUCUUUUCCUCGCAUUAGAGAAUUAACAUAUAGUUAAUUCUCUAACCGGUGCGGUACAUAUGCUUCCCAUUAAUGGGUUCAAACACUAAAUACCUCUCACUGAUGCACCUUGCAAUGGCUCGUGCCUCUCACCUAGCAUUUAUCAUUCAAGGUGAUCUUUAACCUUGGAUUACCCAUCAAAAGCUCGCAAGAGAUAACUAAAGGAUGUCUCCUUAGAGUCCAAAAGCUUACCAAGUGUUGGUUAUUCUAGAAAAUCCUACCUUCAAACCACCUCCCAAAGGCUCGCAAGAGAUAAACAAGUGCAUCUCAAUGGAUGAAGAUCACUUGCCUUACCAAGUUUUGGCCCAGAUGAUUUAAUGACAUUUUAAGUUAACUAAAAAGAUAAAAACCAUUAACGGGUCACACUUUCUCUUCAUUAAAAACUAAAACAACAAAACUUCCAAUUUAUGCAUGAGGAAACUUACCUGGCUUUCUUCACUUCAAGAGAUGAAGAGCCUAGCCACUCAUCAUUUGAGGAAAAAUCCUCAGAGUUUGAUUUGCUAGAAAUAAAAAUAAUGAGAAAACAAAAAUAUAUAUAUGAAAAACAGAGCAAGUUCUCUGUAAUAUAUUUUUCUUCCUUAUACAAAAGGUUGUCUCUAAGAACAAGUUCCCGAGAUCUAUCUGAUUGUAAAUAAAAUUACAACUAUAUAUAAGAGGUUAUUCACCCCUUUGUUCUUUCUUAAAGACUAAGGAAUCCUAUGAUAGGUGGGUUACAAGGAGAGUUUGGGGAUUUAGACAUCAAAUAUCUAAAGCAAAAUAUCUCAAGAUGUUAGUCGGAAAUAUCAGGAAGCUUCAGGAGAACACCGCGACACUGUAUACUGAGAGAAAAACUCUCCGGGUAAGCUCUAUCAAAGGAUCCAGACAUGUCUGACUGGGAAAGUUGAAACGUCCUUCUCUCCCAUCCGGAUGUGAGAUAUCCGGAGAAAGUGAAAUGUCGGUCGGACAGAAUUCUUUCCCCGGGUGGAAUGAGUUGUGUUGCGCGUCGCAAGGGGGACCGUCUGCGUGUACAAGUUGUAGGGACCCCUCUCCCGGAUGACACCGAGCGCGUAAGGCUAUCCGGAUCAACUCCAUUCGGAUUCCCCAAGAGGACAUGUGGCGUGCUCCCCUAUCAGGACUCCCUUAGGGAGAAGCACACGACACUCGUGAACAUCAUACCCGGACGAUAGCAUGUCCUAUCCGGAUGUGUUGUCCGGAUCAUUGACUAAAGUGAGCAAGCCUUGCUACGUCAUUCGGACAGCUUGCCACAUACCAUGUUCCGUCGCCAUCUGAUGGUGUGUCCGAACGCCUUGUCCGGACAUCUUUUGCUCCUUGCAUUCCGGAUUUGCUUAUGACAAAGGACUUCAAAGCUUCGGUUCUUCAUGUUUCUGAGCUUUCCAUUGCUUUGCCAUGGAUUCCAAAGAACUCUCCUUAAUCACGGAUUGCUUUGGUGAUCAAAAAGUUAUCAAAACACAAAAACUUAACAUAGUUUGAUUAGAAUUGAUUGCAAGGGUUCUUAAUAUGUUAAUUGGGUUAAAAGGUGAUAACUACUACUCAAAAGUGUUUAUAAGAAUUAAUUACAAGCUAUGAAAUAACACUUUUUGAGUAGUAAUCAGGAUACAUCCUAGUUUUUCAUGGAAUUGAUAGUGGGUUGUUGUGCAUGAAUGCCACCAUUUCAACUAUGCUGUUGUUAUUUUUAAAAAAAAUAUGGAUUAUGCGCGAGUGGCAAUUCUCCACUAUGGAAAGUGGAUUGCUCCUUCAACCCAUGCAUGGCUACGUAUUCCUAUGUCUUUCUACUUGUGUUUGAUCCUCCAAAAAAAAUUUCGGUUUAGUGCUAGUAGAUUUUAAGUGGUGGAUCCCCAUUUUUUGAAAAUGAAGUGGCAGCCUCCCAUUUCAAGACAAAAUGGUAGCCUGCCUUUAAUCUUUGGAGAAAAAUCUGUGCAUGACCUUUUUUUUUCCCAAAAAAUCCGUGCAUGGUGUCCUUUAAUAUUUGGAGAAAAAUCUAUGUUGGAUCUUUUCUUUUCUAGAAACAUUUGUGUGGUCUUUUUUGUUAGCCCAAGGGUUCUUCUAAUCAAGUUUUGAUGAUAACAAACCAUGGUUAAGUGACUAAUUGGUUUAAUGAUUAAGAAUCUCAAACAUAAAAUCGAAAAUUCAUCAAAGGACCAAAUGGAUACAAGAUCGAGACGCUUGGAAGACUUGUAAUCAUAGGAAACUAAUGUAAGAUGAAUGCAUGAGUGCACUUAGGAUUUUCACACGUUUCAUGCAACUUAGAAAACCCAGUUUAUUCUUUAAAACUUCAUCCCAGUUUAUUCUUUUUAUGGUUGUGUGUGCUUUCCUUGAUACGUGGCUUAUUUAUUAAGGAUACAUCCCAGUUUUUCAUGGAAUUGACAGUGGGUUGUUGUGUGUGAAUGCCACCAUUUCAACUGUGCUGUUGUUAUUUAAAAAAAAAAAAAAUGGAUUGUGCGCGAGUGGCAAUUCUCCACUAUGGAAAGUGGAUUGCUCCUUCAACCCAUGCAUGGCUACGUAUUCCUAUGUCUUUCUGCUUGUGUGUGAUCCUCCAAAAAAAAUUUUGGUUUAGUGCUAGUAGAUUUUAAGUGGUGGAUCCCCUUUUUUUGAAAACUAAGUGGCAGCCUCCCAUUUCAAAACGAAGUGGUAGCCUGCCUUUAGUCUUUGGAGAAAAAUCUGUGCAUGACUUUUUUUUUCCCAAAAAAUCCAUGCAUGGUGUCCUUUAAUAUUUGGAGAAAAAUCUAUGUGGGAUCUUUUAUUUUCUAGAAAAAUUUGUGUGGUCUUUUUUGUUAGCCCAAGGGUUCUCCUAAUCAGGUUUUGAUGAUAACAAAUCAUGGUUAAGUGACUAAUUGGUUUAAUGAUUAAGAAUCUCAAACAUAAACUCGAAAAUUCAUCAAAUGACCAAAUGGAUACAAGAUCGAGACGCUUGGAAGACUUGUGAUCAUAGGAAACUAAUGUAAGAUGAAUGCAUGAGUGCACUUAGGAUUUUCACACGUUUCAUGCAAUUUAGAAAACCCAGUUUAUUCUUUAAAACUUCAAUUUCAUUAAAACCCGAGUUUUUAACUAAUGUACCUUAGGCAAAAUGUUUUAUAAUUGGCUUAAUAAUUCACCUAAAUACAUUUUCUAAGUGUUAGAAAAGAAAGGAAUUAAAAAAAGGUUUUCGGGGCAAAAAAGGCUCAACCGGUCGAGGCUAUGGUCAACCGGCUCAACCGGUUGAGGAACCAAUCGAUCGGUUGUGCUUGUCCGAUCGAAGACCAAUCGAGGGAUGCCAAAAAAUUUCUCUCUCUCCUAGUGGCCUUCUCUUCCCGGUCGAGGUUCGGUCUAGGCAACGGUAACAUGUCAAGCAUUAAAUGCUCCGACGACUAGUGAAUCGGUCGACCCCUAGCCCGAUCGGACGAGGUUGCCUUUUGCUGUUUUUGACUCCCGAGCUUAGAAACCUAUAAAUUGAGAGCUCCACUUCAUUUAUUGAUAAAAGAGAACACUUGCAUUCAAUAGUCUACCUACCUUUUCUUGAUCAAAAAGCUCUCAUUUCCUUCAUAGUGCAUUAAAUCAUCACUUGCAUAUCCUUUAGUGCACUAUUGUGUGUCAUCCUAGCUUUGUUUUGUAUUUGAGCUAUCCUUAAGCUAGGUUGAGGGAUUAUUUCUUAUAAAAAUCUGAGUGUUAAAGCCUUCAAGAGAUUUGAAUCUUGAAGAGAUUGUGUAAGAGCCCAUUGGAGCCGGAGUCCAAGUGUAAGAAGAUUGGAAGCUUGGUUGAAGCUUCAAGUUAGUGGAACCCUCACUCGGUUAGGAGGUUGAGGAGAGUGGACGUAGGUAAGGAAGUGUCGAACCAUUAUAAACCCGAGUUUGAAUUCUCUAACUCUAUCUCUUUAUUUUGCUUAUAUUGUGUUUGAAUUUGUUGUGAUUGAAAAGAUUUUAAAAACCUAAUUCACCCUCCCCCCUUUUGGGUUUUUUUUUCUUAAUUAAGCAUAACCUUUGUUUUCUAAUUUUCUUUUUAGGAAAAUCCAUGCGUGGUAUGUCCAAACUCUCCAAGUGGCAGUCUGCCUUCUUCUAAAAAAUUUGUUUCUAUUUCUUUAUUCGACUACCUUCCAUGUCUUCCUAAUGAGUGCUUGUGCUCAAUGGUCAAUCCCUGGUGGUUGCCUCCUUUUCCCAUAUAUACGUGUUGCAAAAUCAACAUCCCACUAUAUGUGGGUUGCCUCUAUGGCAAGUUCACAUUUCCCACAUGAAACCUAUGAGUUUCCACCAAAAAUUGCCAUGAAAAAGUCUUUAUAUGCAUCUCAUGCAAUAAAAAGUCAAGCCAAUACUCAUCUUAUCUCGAAAAAUAAGUAACCAAAAUCAAGAUCAUGCCUAAGUGAACUAUGCCAAAAGAAGUGUCCAAGUGACCUAUUAUGAAAAAAGUGCCUAAGUGACCUAAGGUGAAUGUGUGUAAGCUGGAAGGUGUCUAGGAUGUUUAGGACAAUGCCUAAGCCUAAAAUAGGGUUGCCAAGGGUCACAAUGGGGUUAGAUAAAUCUCUCAAUCAGAGUCUCCAAGGUGGCUCAUAAAAGAUAAGCUACACGAGUAAUGAUGGGCCACCAGGGAAUUAUUGUAAAGCACCAAACGAACACAUAAUAGGACAUGUGUUAGAAUGAAAAAAUGGAGGGUUUACAAGUGGUCUCAUGGAUGAGCUUGAUAAUUUAAAUGACUCACAUAAUGAACGUAUGUGAUGUUUCUCUCCAAUAACAAGCAAAACAUCACUAGCAAUAUGAUGAAUGUCUCCUAAAUCACUUGAAGUAGUCCUAGCAAAUCAAUUAGAAAAAUCACACAUAUUGCUCUAAUGUAAUAUUAUAUACAUCUGUCAAUGAAUGGGAGAACUAAUGACACAACCAUCAUGUUGAUAUCUCGAACCCUCUAAUCUCAUAUGUAGGUGGGAUCACACUUAGAAACUCAUAACACAGUAAUGACCAAUCUAAGUCAAAAUGUGUUGGUGAUCGGAGGCCCAUGAAUAUGAAGUUCUAGGAUGAUAAUGACAUCUUAUAAAGUAAUGAUCAUCUCCUUAAUAGAUAGGUGAAAUGUGUGUGUCUUAGGACACCAUCUCUCAACAAGACUUGUGAUCAAUCCCCAGUCUAGUGUAACAUGCCUAUUAUGACAUCCAUCGUAAAAUCUAGACUAGAUAAUAUAAGGACAAAUGUGAGGGUUCAUCUCCCUUUCCCACAUAAAUUUAAAAAAUUAUUAUUGACAAGUUAAGACCAAACUAAGUUGCAAAAUAUAAAUAAGUCCAUUAGAUAACAAAUUUAUGUUUUCUCAUUUUCUCAUUUUUAAAGAGAUAUUAUGUGCUUCCAUGUACAUACAUGCUAAAGUCAAUUAUACGAGACUUAUAUCCAUCUUGUAGAACCAAAUCGAACCUAUCUAAUAGAUCCAGAUUAGAAGUAUGUCCUCUAUACUCCAUAUUUAUAACACAUUUAUAAAGAUAAAUGCUAAAAAAAUGUUAAAGAUAUAAAUUUAAUGAACCAUACUUUAUGAUUUUAAUUCUCAAUUAUUGUUCAUAUUUAUAAGAGAAAAGUUAAAAAAAUUGAUAGAGUUUUCCCUCUAUCAUGGACAUUAUCCCAAAUAAAAAUAAAUUGAUUAUGCAAAUUACAUUAAUAUUUGUAACCAAAUGAUCAAUAACUAUCUUGUAUCAAUUUAGUAAAUAAAUUUAAGUAUAUCUUUUCAUUUAUGACUAACAAAUAACUCAUACUUGUCCAAUAAAAGCCACACCUAAUUUCUAAAAUUUUGUCUUCACCUCAAGUGAGUGUUACAUUGAGAAAGAAAAAAUAUGAAAGAAAAAAUGAACACCUUUUUCUUUUAAUAAAAAAAGGCCAUAACGAAACAUUAAAUCUCACUGUUACACCUAUCUUCAAUGGAAACAUGAGGAUGUGAAUGGUGGCGGUGAUAUUCUUUGCUUGAAGCUCAUAAACAAAUAUUCCUUACUAAGCCUAUGCCAUUUAGUAUUUCAAUAGUGGACCCCCCCCCCCCCCCCCCCCCCCUCCUUGCAUUUCAGAUUUAGCAAACUUAGAACCAAAUAACAAAGUGCAUUUGAACCCAUAAAGAAGUAAUGAGACUCUCCUAUAUUGGCAAUAGAAGAAAUUUUUGGAGGUAUAGGAGAUUCACGGAUGAAGAAGUUGGGCCCCAAUUGAGAUAAGACCCAAGAAAAGAUGGGGUAGAGAGGGAUGGUUGGAAAUUGUAAAGUAAGAUUUUCAAAAUGUAGUUGAUGACUAAGAUUUUGACAAUUUAAAAAAGGUUUAAAAAUGUAGUUAGCAAUCGGGGUUUUGUAACAUUUAAAAAAUAAAAUAAAAUCUCAGGCCACAUGGUAGCCCAUGUGAUUCAGAAGCUUGAGAAUUAUUUUAUAAGAAGACUUAAUUUGUGAUUUUUUUAUAACUAUAUUAUUUUUUUUCUUAACACACGAAAAAAAUUAUGAAAUAAGACAAUUUUCCUAAGAAAGCAUGUAAGUGACUCUUGGUUAUUUUAUUUAACUUCUUCUAGUUUGGAGAGGAUUAAUACCUUUGCUUUUACUCACUUGCUUGGAUAUGUACACGUUGUUCAUGUCACUUUUCAUUUAAUUUUCUGAUUAAGGGAAUUGGAACCGUACGUAACUGUCUUUAUUCCCUCUGAAACUUGGACUUGGAGUUGGACUUUCAAUCUCAUCAGUCGUGUUUCCAUAAAAAAGAAGAUGGAUUAACCAAUUUUCCUAUGCCUACUAAUCAUACACAAAACUCCACUUCCAAAUAAAAAGGAAUGGGAUAUCACUUGUUAAUAGUGGCUAAAGACUAUUAAUAACCAUGCAAAGAAAUGUCACAUUUUUUGUUCUACGCAAAUUUUAUUCAUCAACUACUAGAACCAUUUCAUACAAUAGUAGCUUUUCGAUCCUUUGAUAAAUGGACACUUGAUGUGAUAACACCAACUACACCUAUAUAUUCAAGCAAUCAUGCGUAUAUAAUAGUGGAUAUGGAUUACUUCUCUAAAUGGGCAAAAGUUUUGUCAUUCAAGGAAAGUGAACGAGGAAACACAAGUUUACUUUCAUCGGAACUAAUAUUAUAUAUUGAUAUGACUUCCCAUUAUUACUUACGAUGGAAUAUGCUUCCAUAAAAUGGCCUAGAUGAACAAACUAUCCAAGAAGUUUGGGAUCAAAUAAUAUAUAUAUAGUUCAUGUGUGAUUCUUUGGUUGACAACCUUGUUAAGGGGUGAGUGAAGCACUUUGGGCAUACCACAUACUACAUGCUAGACUUCCACCCAAGCUACCCUAUAUUCCUUAUGAACAAAGUAGAAGUUGUCAUCUCUCUUGAAUACCAAAUCCUUUCACCUAAUAAUGCUAUCUAAAAAGGUCUUAAAAAGGAUAAAAAUGCGCAUAUUUGAAUUUUUGAAUUAGGAGUGCUACUUAAAAAGAAGCUAGAUAUACAAUAAUAGAAUGUUAUCAAGCAUAUCUCUUCAAAGUUUUUGACCAAAAAAUAUAUGAUUUCUCAUUUUAGGUAGGAGACUUAGUACUCACUAUUCAAAAACCAAUUAUCAUUACUCAUAAAAACUAAUAGAAAGUUUGGGCCAAAGUAGGAUGGACCUUAUAUUAUGCAACAAUUAUGCCUAUAAAAUUGUUGCAAAAGAGGUUUUAGAAUCAAAUCAAUGAAUGAAAAAUUAUUAAAGCAUUACUAUGCUUGAAGGCUAGUCAUUUUCCCUUAAAGUGCAAUAUUAAGUUGCAUAGUACUAUGUGGAUCCGCAUUUUUCACAUGCGUUCCCACUCAUUGUCGAGACUCACUUUUUAGAAGUGAAAAAUUAGUUUUAUUAAAGUCGAAGUUGCCACUGGGGAUUUGAACCCUAACAAAAGGUUCAAUUUAAGGAUAAAAAUAUCGAUAAUCACAUAUAUAUAUAUUGGUACUUUGAUUUUAUGAAUAUAUUGAAGAAAUAUGGACAAAUAUUUUGACACAAAAUAUGUACAAAAUAAAAAUUAUAUAAAAAGUAAAAAUAAAUAUUUUAAAAUUAUUUUUUUAAAUAUAUAUAUAUAUAAUUUGACAUAUUUGAUAAUAAUAUAUAAGGGUCUCCAAAAAGCCCGUGGCCCGCUUUAGGCCCGGUCCGACCCGACAGGCUAAAGCCCGGCCCAAGCCCGCCGGGCCCAAGCUCGGCCCGAGCCCGUUUAUGGGUGGGCCGGGCCGCGAGCCCGUAGGCCUGCUCCUUUAAAAAAAAACUACAAAAAUAAAAAGUAUUAAAAAAAAUAUUCAUUUCAAAAUUUUAUUCAUUGAAUGUAUAAUUACAUUUGAAAAUGUGGGAAAAGUUUACAUCACUACAAAAUAAAUACAUCCCAACUAGGUUGGCACCUAUUUAUUUGUCAAUCAUCUGUAUUUUUCAACCACAAAAAAUAAAAAUAAAAAUAUAAUAUACAUUUAGUCAUUAUUUUCUGGCGGUGAUGGCGAACUAUCAUGCAUCCAUGAAGAUCUUGAUAAUUUUAAAGAUUCCAUAUCGGUAAGCAUCUUUGUUUCUCGAAUGGAAUCAUACAUCCUUUUAUCUGCUAUUUCCCAAUCUUUCACACAUAUCCCUGCUUUAAUAACAUCUGACGCUAAGUUGCAUCGUUUUUUACUAACUACUCUUCCACCUGCACUAAAAGCAGCUUCUGAUGCAACUGUACUCACAGGAACUGUUAGUACAUCACGAGCAAUUAUAGAAAGCACAGGAUAUUUGUGUUGAUGUGAUUUCCACCAUAUUAAAAUAUUAAAAUCUUCUUGAUCUUCAAAUGAAAUUAUAUCAGUAUUAAGAUAUUUAUCUAAAUCAGAUGUAUUAUUUGGAGAAUUAUUUGUUGUCUUUUUUCGACUUUUCAACAUUUCUAGAGCUCCUUUAUAAAAAGAUGAGGAGUUUGUAGAUGUAGGUGGUAAUUUAAUAGUAUUAAUAUCAUUACCAUAUUUUUCUUUAUAAUAGUUAUAUAAAUUAUAUAAUAAUGAAUUUAUUUCAUUUUUAAUUUCUUCAAUUUUUAUUUGGUCAUUAAAAUAAAUAAUUGUUAACCAUUCAUCCAAAGCUUCAAAUUUCAAUCUAGGGUCCACAAUUAAAGCAAUAUAAAAAAUUAAAGGUAUUUCUCCCCAAUAUUUUCUAAAUUUUUAUAUCAUUACAAAUAUUGUAUCAUUAAAUAUUUCAAAACUUAAAUAUUUUUGAAGUACAAUAAAAAUAUUAGUUAUUUGCGUAAUAACUCGAUUUGAAGUUGGAUAAUAUACACCACAAAAAAUGUUUGUUGAAGUAUCAAAAAUUUCAAAAAGAUCUCUUAAAACAUCCGCAAUAUGCCAAUCAUAAUCAUUUAAUGCAUAAAUAUCUGCUUCAUAAUCAUUGUUAAUUAAUUGUAUUUCAUAUAAUUCGACUACUUUUCUAUAUUUUGUAAUAUUUUCUAAAAGUUUAUAUGUGGAAUUCCAUCUAAUAGCCAUAUCCAAAUUUAUAUUUUUUCUUUUCAUAUUUAACAUUUUGCAACAAUCAAAAAAUAAUUCAUGUUUUGCUUGAAAACUAUUAAUACUAUAUGCAAUGCCUCUAAUUUUUUUCCAAUGUACUAUCAACAUUUUUUAAUCCAUCCUUUACAAUUAAAUUUAAAAUAUGUGCACAACAACGCACAUGAAAUAUUUUAGCAUGAUCUUCUUUUACUUGCCAAUAUCGUUUUAGUCUAUGUAUUGCUGCAUCAUUAUUAGCAGCAUUAUCUAAUGUUAUUGUCAAUAUUUUAUCACGAAUGCCUAAAUCUAUAAUUUCAUCAUUUAUUAAAGAUGCUAUAUUUUUACCACUAUGUGGAGUAUUUAUUAAUUUAAAUAAAAUUAUUCUUUUAUUUAAUUUCCAUUCAUUAUCAAUGUAGUGAACAAUUAUAUAUAAAAAACCAGUAUGAGUUAAAGAUGUCCAAAUGUCAGAUGUUAAACGAAUAUUUCCUUCAAAAUUUGCAAAAUUUUUUUUUAAAAUUUCUUUUUGUGUAUAAAUUUUUUUCAUAAUAUCUCUUUUAACUGUAUUUCCAGAUCAACCUUUAAAUUGAGGAUUAAUACCUCGUUGAAUUGUUCUUGCAAAAUCAUGAGUUUCCAUCAUGUUGAAAGGUUGUUCUGCUCUUAUUAUAUAAUCAAUCAUUUCUUCACAACAGUUAGAUUCAUCAUAAGAAAAUGUUUUUAAAUUUCCACUUUCAUUUUUACUUAAUUGCAUAUAAUUUCUAAUAUCUACAUUAUUUUUAGUUUUACAAUUUUCAUGAUGUCUUUUUAAAUGACUUGUAUCUGCAUUUGAGCCACCAGUAAGAAAUUUAUUACAAAUUUUACAUUUUGCUUUUAUUUUUUUUUUAUUAUUUUCUAAAAUUAUUUCUAUUCUAUCAAAAAAAUUCCAUAUAUUUAAAGUAAAUUUUUUGUUUGAUGAUAUUUCAUCACAUGGACUAGACGAAGAAGCACUUGUCAUAUUAUAAUUAUUGAUAAAAUAUUAUGCCAAAAAUAAUAAAGUAAUAAAUAUAAAAAAAAAUGUAACAAAAAAAAUAAAGUAGUAGGGGUGAAGUAUGUUACUCAAUUAGAGAACCUAUGCAGAAAUUCCUAGCAAAUUUGAACUCUUGGAGCCACCAAUGCUUGUUUUGCACCAUCAACAAUAUUGUAUAAUUUGAGGGAAAAAUAAAAGAAUUUAAAAUAUUGUAGAAUGUGAGAGAAAUAGAGAGAAUUUGAUGAAAAAAUGAAAAGGAAGAAAAUGUAUUUAUAGGAAGGUUAAAAAUAAUAAUAAUAAUAAUAAUAAUAAUAAUAAUAAUAAUAAUAAUAAUAAUAAUAAUAAUAAUUGGCCAUGUGACCGUUGGAGGCUUAGCUCCAACGGUCACAUGGGCUGGAGCUAGGCUCCAACAGUCACAUGACCGUUGGAGCCUUUAAUUUUUUUUUUUAAAAUAAUAUACUUUAUUUUUAUAUAUAUAUAACUAACUCAAUUAAUAAACAUAAAAAGAAUAUAGUUCAGUUGGUUAGAACCUUGAAGUUUAAACAUGAGGGGAGGGGUUUGAAUCCCUCCCUCUCCCUUAGGGGCUUUUUUAAAAGCCAUUUUGGCUUAUUUCAAAAAGCCUGUCGGCCCGACCCGCCCUGCAGCCCGCGGGCCUAGCAUUUUAGCAUGGCCUGGUCUGUUGACUAGUCAAAUGGCUCAUAGGCUCGGCCCGAACUGGGCCGCGGGCCUCUUAUUUACGGACCGGCCCGACCCGGCCCGCCCGUUGGAGACCCUUGAUAAUAUCUUCUAUAUUAAGUUACAUUAUAGUUUAUUUUACAAUAUUAUUAUGAUAAUAUGUCUAAUUUUAAAAUAUAUUUAAUAUUAAAAUUAUGAUCUAUUUUAAUUUAAAUGUAUUCAAUGAUAUCAAAUAAAUAAUAAUAUAUGUAUAAUUCUUUUAUUAUUUAUAUUUAUUAUUUUUAAUAAAUAUAUAGAUUAUAUAAAAAAGACCGGAUAUAUCUUUUCAAAUUUUGUAUCGCUCUCCAAGGAUAUUAGAUGUAUGGGAAUUUGUAUUGCUAUCUACGGAUACGUUGAUAUAUGGGUGAUUUAUCAGGAUAAUUAGAAAUUCUAAUUAUGUAAGCAGGUACGGAGUUCUGUGUCGGUGCGAUCUUGUCGACAACAGCUCCAAAUUGUGCAUCUUGCUCAUAGAGAGUAGCGGAAUGCACCAAUCGUAGGCUCAGAGUACCACUGAGUCGUCUGGCAGAGACCCAACUGAAGGUGCCUGUGUUGUUCCUGAUCUGAUCAGGCUUCAAACUACAAGGUGGAAUACUGGUUCCCCUAUAUCAGAAGCUGGAGAUACCCACCCCAUAUGCUCGUCUGGAUGUGCUCCUACCCUUUGAAGCCUUCUUCCGAGUCAAGUCCGAAUUGAUAAGGCUAGUGAGUUCCCAACCAACUGUACUCAGCAUGCUGCCAGGUGGAGACCCUCCAUAUUUGAUGGCUUCCUAAUAUUAAAAUGCUGACCACUGGUCUUCAUGUUCCACAGGCUUAAUUGUGUCCUUUGCUGAAAGAAUGGAUAGUGAUCCAUUUUAACACAUGAUUCACGCCGUCUUUGCCAUUCUUCAUGGUCUAGCCCUUUUAUAUAUAUGCUUCCUGAACUGUUGCUAUUAAUAAAAUGUGGUAUCUAUCCCGUACACCUUCCUGAUGGCCAGCGAAUGCAGAAGCUACAGAAACGGUUCCAUCUUUUGCUUCCGCCACUUUGGCAUCCUCCAUGAUGAGAUCGAAGGUGAAUAAUCAUAUUCUGGGGAUUUAUGUCCUGGAUAUUCUCAGUAAUGCCCAAUUUCCUGGUGCCGGCCUCAUUUCCAUGGGAACUGAUGGAUAACUUAAGGCUUCUACCAUCUGCGUGGUUCGCUUCUAACACAGGAAACUUCACGGCUAAAAGCAAGAUACCAAGAACAUCAAGGCUGUGACAAAAAUUAGUAUUUUUAACUUGUAGGAAUUUGAAAGGCAACCAACCAUCUAGCUCUGUUCUUAAAGCUCCCAUAGGAGGAUCAGAGGCUGGAUUGCUCAAGAUGAACUCAUCCAUUGUUGCACUUAAAAAGAAUUGGCAUGAAUUGUGGCCGCUCUAAUAGGUUCCCUAAACCAUCAUCCAAGUGGGCUUGCGGAAGGUAGCGAGUUUAAAACACCUAGGGCGAUGAACAGUGGACUGUGAUGCUCACAAAAGAGAAAAGGAAGAAUUCAAUAAUUCCUAAGAAUCCAUUUGCCUGUCAUCCAAAUUUUUAUAUUCUCUUCAGUCUGACGCGUUAUGCCAUAUAUUAAAAAUAGCGGCUUCUUCCAAGCCGAGACAGACUGUGCAAAGUUCGCAAGGCCAAUCAUCACCAUAAUCUGAAGUUGGCCUCCUCAAUCGCAGCUUGUAUCCGAAUGCUCACUUCACGGGAUGGAUUGUAAUGAAAACUAAUCUCAGUCCCAGCUAUGGCAGCAUCCUCACUUGACAGCAUUUUCUGCAUAUUCUAGAACAAAGCAAUAAACCCUCAAAGGCUCCUUCGGAUCAGAGUUAGAAGACUGUCCCUCAGGAACGUGAACACUAUGGUGGUUCUGAUAAGCAGUGAUAUUGCAUUAGAGCCUUUUGGAACAAGAGGAUCUUUUCAGGUGGAAACUGUAAACUGCUUCAUGUUGGGCUGCAACCUUUUCUUCAAGCAAUACUUUCUUUCUGUAUCACGACUUAUGUUGCUUCCGGAGCCAUCCCGUGUGGACUGCCCUUCAGUGAAAGAAUAUGUGUGUUGACAUGUUGGAUUGUAAUCUUUGUUCCACUCUAAUGGCUUUUGGUCCUCCUCUUUCUCUUUAUGACAGAGAACCAUUUAGUGAUCCAUCUCUAUAUUGUAGCAUUGCUGGUGCUUUGCAAUACUACACUCUCACCAAGCAUAACAUCUAUUUUUCCGUGACCAAAGUAUGUCGGUUUAUGCAUGCGCAAACUCUUAUUCAUUGGCAAGUUGUCAAGCGUAUCUCAUGAUUUCCCAAAGCCACAAGUUCUUAUGGUCUUUCUGUUCAAGCUUACAAUGAUCUAUCUUUUCUUGGUUAUACUGAUGUCGAUUGGGCUAGUUGCCCUGAUAACAAGCACAAUACUAGUGGGUACAACACUUUUCCUGGUCCUAAUCUCAUUUCAUGGGCAUUUUCAAAGCAGAAGGUUGUGUCUCACUCCAAUAACGAAUCUGAAUAUAGGGGACUCACUAAUUAAUGUUGUUGCCAAGGUCACUUGGAUUGAAUCUGUCUUACGUGAGUUGCGUGUUUCUCUACCCCAACCACCAAUUUUGUUGUGUGACAACAUUAGUGCUACACACUUGGACAAACCAUGUUGAAAUACACUAUCAUUUUAUCCAUGAAAGGCUUAUGCAUCACACACUCAAAAUUCAAUACACCUCUUCUAUAGACCAACUAGUCAAUGCUAUGACCAAAGCUCUUCCUUCAUCUCACUUGUACAAUCUUCAGUGCAAGCUGAUUGUUCUUCCCAAACCACUCAACUUGAGGGGAGAUGUUAAGCCAAUUUAAUAAAUUGAUUUCUUUUGGUUAAUUUGUUAGAAUCAUUUUUAUUAGAGGUUUGUUUGUACAAUUACAUCCAUUUAUCAGGAGAGUACACGUGUACAACUCCUCUUUUAAUCUCACCAUUGUAUAUAUAUGAUACACGACCUUACUCAGAAUUGCAUAACAUUUCCUCUGCUCAUUCCUUUUCUUCUUUGAAUUUUCCCUUACCUCACUGAUUUUGAUUUAUACCUGGUGUUUUCACCUUUGGUCUCUACCUUUCUAGCCAGUUUUCUAAUUAAUCCGUAUAUGGUAUACCUGUCAACUAAUGAGGAGAAAGAGAAAAGGGGAUUGCUGUUCCACCAGCUACAUAUAAUAAUUAAUUACAAUCAUGGUAAUGGAUCCUGAAAUCCAUCCUUUGUGGAUUUUGUACGGAAUAUUGUUGUUAUGUAUGUGGGCUCACUUAGAUGUAUAUUGCUAGCCUGUCUGGGAAAUGUGAUUGCAGGUCCAGAUUAUGAUGUUGAUAUUAGUGGGAUAAGCAAGAGAUGCAGUUAACACGUAUGUGAUGGACUUGAGUAACUUUUCCAUUUCAGUCCAUUUUUUAAGAUUAUGCUUAGUCUUAUUACAAGGAAAGACCAUAAGAAUCAUGAGUCAUUGGCAAGGUAAUAUCAUUCCCUCUUUACAGGCUUCUUCACCUUUUGGUUUUUUUAAUAUCCAUCAAGAUCUUUUAAUUGGAGGACAAUUACAAGUAUAUAUAUAUGUAUUAAAAGGGGAAAAUAUUAAAACAGGAAAUUUUAGGGAAAAUAUAAUAAUUAUUUCUUCCUUCUUUCCCAUAUAGAACUACACAAAAUAAAACUUUAAUAAUUUUUUCUUAUCUUUUUUAUUAUUAUUUUUUCUUAGAAACAUCCGUGGUCUCACAAGCUUGUAAUCCUAGAUUGUUAGGCUCCUUUAACAGUGCCCCAACAUCGUGGUCCAAUGACAAGCUUCCACGCCUUAAAAUCAGAAAAUGCCAUUAAACUUUAUCAGACAUUACAGUUCAAGACAAAGCUUUCAUUUGCUUAAUGUGAUAAUGAAAUUGUUAAUUUCAUUUCGUGGGCAUCUAAAUUUGGACGAGCAAGACCUCUGAAUUCCCUGUUUUUAUCACCAGCAGAGGAGAUAAAAUCUUAAUGGUGAGAAUCUCCACGUGAAAUUUAUGUGUACUGUCAACAUAUUUUUGUUUAUAUAGUCCAGUAGCUGCAGGAAGUCUAGAUUAUAUAGGUAGCAGUAGCACUAUUUAUAGCACUCGAUAUUCGCUGUAUGAAUACAUUAAACCUUGUUUUCAAUACGCAUCACAAGCAAGUACUAGAUACUACAAGGAGUGACAGUCGCAUCAACAUUUCUUGAUAAUAGCAGUGACUGAUUUAUACACAGAACAGUACUGUACACGUACCAGUCACCAGAGAUAGGAUCUUAUUCCUACAUACGACUCUUAUUGAUCGAAGUCACUCAGUUGGGGUAGCCUGGAGUUGGAGGUUUGUGUGGUGGCUUCUUCUUUGGAGGAGGCUUUAUCUUUGGAGGCAUCAUCUUUGGAGGCAUCUUGUGUGAGUCUUCUUCAGCAUUCUCUACAGGAGGAUGGCCAGGCUUAUGACCCUUAGGUGGUUUGCCAACUGGGAUUGGUGGCUUGUGUCCUGAGAGUGGCUCCUCUUCUUCGGGAGGUUUGCCAACUGACGUUGGUGGCCCGUGUCCUGGGGGUGGCUUGUGUUUUGGGGGUGGUUUCACUCCACCGGGAGGUUUACCAAUUGGUGUUGGUGGUUUGUGCUCAAUCGGUGGCCUCUCAACUGGGGGGCGCUUGGGGUAAUCAGCGAGUGAAGAAGUGGUGAGAACCACCACUCCAAGCAACAACACUAGCAAGUAUGUGGAAGACAUCUUUGAGUUUGGCUCAGAUGGUGUAGAACUAGAAUCCUGGGUGGCCUUUUAUAUUAGUUGGGCCCUAUGCCCGAACGACAAGUGUCAUGGUGACACAUAAAGUGAUGGGGUCGAUUUGGGCCUACCGGAUUUGAAAACUUGGACAAUUCGAGAAGCGUCUCCUGACUCCGGGUUGUAAAGUGAAAGAUUAGGUAUCGACCAUUGAAGUAUGAUCACAACUUUUGGCCUUUGGCUCUCUCUACUGCCGUAUAGCUUUUUUCCUUUGGAUAUUUUUCUUAGCUAGACACAAUUAUUGAGCAGUCUAAUCUCGAAAUGGGAUUAGUAUAGCUUUAAGCAAAUUUAUUAUAGUUAGUGGAGGACUUUUAAGAGUGCAGACGACAUUUAACACAUGCAUGCAGUAGUAUAGGGGACAUAACACUAUUCUUUUUCCAAAGAUUCACAUGAUUUUUAUAUUAUAGUAUUGGCACAUUGUAUGUAGCUGGUUUUGUGGUUAAAAUUCCAUAUGUAGACACUGGCGUUUCUCCAUUUCUCACAAUUGAUGUUUACCUCCACGAUUACUAGAUUAGAUAUACCAAACAAUAACACAUUGUAUAAUCUAUCCGCCCUUCAAAAUCUACUGUAUGAUGAAAUGUUUCAUGUGUGUGUGAAGUGUUAGAAAUGCACUAUAGGCAACAUCAUCUUCUUUUGUCUAGGCUUGGGCCUCAAAUUAUACUCCCAUGCCAUGAUAAAUUUUCAUGUGCAUUCUCUAAAGAAGAGUGUCUUGAAUGUGCCAAAUCAUUUUGAUUGAUUUUAUGAUGUUAAUUGCUCCGCAUAUGGAUGGGUAUGUGCUUUAUUUGCUUAUUCAAUCCACAAUUACCUUGAACUGAAGUCCUAUUGGAGCUCUAUUAUUUUAGCAACGUCCUGUCAAAUAGGCUGCUAACUUGGGGUGGUAUGGACCCAAUGAUCCAUCUUAAUCUUGGGUUGAUUUUGUCUGACUCUAUCUAUCUCAGAGAGAACCAGGAUCACCAGUGCUGGUCUGCUUAAAGAAGACUCAGUACUGGAUUAAUAUUGGUUUGGGUCAAUAGCUUAUAAUGCAUUGAAUGCAGAAUAAACAAGAUCAAUGAAACCCAAAACACACUGCCCACACAACUUCACUCUGGUGUCUGUUAUUCAUCAAUUCUAUUCCCACAUGAACUGGUUCAAGUUUAAGAAAAUGACAACGGAUCCACUGUAUUAACUUGGUUUUGCUUGGUUUUGAGCUAGUUGCCAAACCAGCCAUGAGUUUUACCUCUAAUGUCAAUGAACAAACCCCAAAUGAACAACUGCAACAGCUUAAAGAGAAGGAAUGGAGAUGAAAAUCCCUGUUUCUUCUCAUUCUGGGGACAAAUUAGAACAUAACUACAAAGGUUCUAUUAAUUGACUUACUCUACCAUGAAUUAUGGUUCUUUGGUUUUCCAAAUUUAAAUUGUACAUGAGAUUAUUUUUUUCCUUUAUAUAUAAACAUAUUAAGGUUUUCUUAUUUCGUGGGCAAAUGCGCUAAGGAUGAAAGUCAUUUCAUUUGGCUGCAACAGCAUCUUAUAAUCAACAUGCAUAAGCAGCAGUUUUAAUUGAUCGAUUGAACACCGACUCACAAGAAUAGAUAGAAUGGUACAAGACAGCUCUUAUUAAUUUAUACUCGUUACUCAUUUUAUGUAGCCCCAUUAAGAUGGCUGGCUGGACCACCGAGGUCUGGGGGUGGUGUUGCUUGUGUGAUGCAGCGGGCCGGGCAGACACUUCUCUAGUUGCUUCUAUUUGGAGUUAGAGGAUCAGUCUCUGCCAACCUUGAGGACUCUCUACCUCAGAGGGUCCAGGUGGUGGACUCUGGUGUCGGUAGCUUUGAACUCUCAGUAGACUAGUGUGUCUUAAUCAGUCACUGCCAGAGGCUGGCGUAGGCAGUGACGAUAAGGUGAGACAAAUUACCGAAUAGUCAAUAUCGACUGCACUUGACCAUUAUAGAUUUGUUCUGACAAAAGUGAGAAAAGGGAGAAAAUCGGAUGUUGACCUUUAUAGAAAAAGAUAAGAUUUACUGCAACACAGAGCACUGAUUUGUUACUUGGAAACCAAGUUAUGCUAUUAGCUAGCCUCCAUUAGCAGCAGGGUACCUUGCUGCCUGAUCCUAAUCUGAGUUCCCAAGGUUUCAAUCUUCGUUUGUUAACGCUUCAGGAUUUGGAUAUUUCAGCUUCGUUUCUCCAUUUAGCCAACGCUGCCUGGUUUGGAUUUCAAUCCUCAUCUGGAACAUUCUUUUUUCGGUCUGAUUCAGGAAGUGUUUGGUGAUAGUUGAUUAAAAUUAAACAGUACUAUCAUACAAAUAAAGCUGAUCUAAUUUUGGUGGGCAAUAUACCAACUCAUUUAUUCUUGAAAACACCAUGGGGAAUUGGAGGUCCAUCCGAAGUACUAUUUGAUGGGACUCACAAAAAGAACAGGUGCACAUUUAUGAGAUCCGUGGAAGAGAUAACUAUGACAGCUAUGCAUGUACAACAGAUUUAUGUCGAGUUCACCUCGUAGAUAUUUUGUUUUCAGUGUCGGUGGACCCCAAAAUGGAAAUCGGAAAUUAAGGUUAUAUUUAUUUUUUUAUUUAAUUUUAAAUAGAAUUUUAAUUUUUAAUAAUAUUAAGUAUUAAAUUAUUUUUUUAAGGGUAUUUUAUUUUUAUUAAGUAUUAAAAAGUAAAAAAAAUUAAUAUGUUGCUUUUUUAUUUUAAAAAAAUUAUAUAUUUUAAUUUUUUCUAUUUACUAAAAAGUUUAUAAUAAAUUAUAAAAAAAUAAAAAAAUAAAAAACUUAAAUUCUGAAAAUAAAUUAUUUUUAAUAAAAAAAUCCAAAAAAGCAAACACCACCUAAAUUUGAGAUGACUCAAAAUUUUAUAUUUUUUUUCACCUAAAUUAUAUUCAUAAAUUUAAAAUUAAAAAAUUAGGAAGUUGAAUUUUAUUUUGGAUAAUUGGAAACUACAAGAAAUCAAUAAAAAUAUUUGGAAAAAAAAGAAAAAGAAAAACUAUCUAUAUAUUCACCCCCUUCUAAGAAACAUAACUUUAGUUUUUAACUAUUUUUUAAAAUAAUUUUUGAAAAAUGUUAUAUAAUAUUUUAUAAAACAAAAAAUCUGUUUGACAAUUUGAUAUGUCUUUAACUUAUUUUUAAUAUUUAUAUAUAUAUAUUUUAAAAAUAAUUUUAUAUUUAGAACUUUAUCUUUAAUUAUUAUAUAUAUUUAUAUAAUUAUUUUUUUUAAAACAACUCUUAAAAAAUAAGUGAAAGUAAUUGAAAACAACUCAAAGAUAUUUGAUGAAAACACUCUAAUUUGUAUUUUUGAGAAUAAAAAAAUAAAUAAAUAAAUUUCUAGUUAUCAAAUGUAUUUUUUAAUUCUUUUAUUCUAAAAAAUAGAAAAUCGUUUUUGAAAAUAAUUAUUAAACAACAUUCUUAAAAAUUCACUCGUUACAAUCUAGAUUUAAUGCAAGAAUGAUUGAAGGAGUCCUCCAAUAGAACCCAAAGUUAUAAACAUGAACAAGAAGCCCUAGAAACACCAAAGAUCUCAUAUGGUAUAUAUAUGAGCUUGAUUGAGAACUGUUUUAAAUUCAGUUUUUUUUUUUUUUUUUUUUUUUUGUUUUCAAAGUCAAAACAAGUUUACUUUUAAUUUUUACUUCUUUUUUUUAAUUUUAUAAAUAACAGUUUUUUAAUAAUUUAUUUUGAAAACAUGAUUAUUUUUAAAACUUAUAAUGAAAAUAGGAAUUUUUUUUUUAAUAUCAUGGUUAUUUUCCCUUCUUUUAAGGAGGGCUAUUUUAAAAAUAAAUUUACAAAUAUGAAAAAUGAUUCAAACUAAAGCAGUACAAAUAAAAAACAUUUUUAAGAAAUAUUUAAAAAUAGAGAAAAUUAUUUGAGAACAUUUGAAGUCCUUAAAUAGACUUUUGUUUUAGAAAAGGCAAGAUAAUUAUUUUUGAAAAUUGUUUUCAUAAUGAUAUGCAAAAACCUACGUAAAAACCAUAAUUAUAAUCGGCCACAUAUCAAAUCUACUAAAUAUGAAAAGUAAGUACAUAAUUAUAUUUGACUUAGAUGCAAGGAGGAAAAUGUCGCGAUAUUAUCGCCGAAAUAUCGUGUGUCGAAGGGUAUCGACACGAUUUUUCUUGCAGAAAUAUCGGCCAGUCGAUUUUUCGGGAUAAAUCUCGAGAAAUCGGCAAUUUAUCGCGAUAUAUCGGCGAUUUUUCCUCGAUAUAUCUUCUGGUCAACGCGGGUCAACGGAGUCAACACGCUACAGUGAAAGUCAAAUGUGCUACAAUGUCCCCGCUACAAUCACCUCCCCAAACAAAUUGCCAAAUUGCUUCCGAGGGGAUUUGAACCAGCCUUCUUGCCAUUUGGGCUAACUCGCCCUUAUGAUAUAUAUUGCAUUAAACAUAUAUAUACUUAAAGUCCUUAUAUAAAGAAAAUGUUAAAAAAAUAUUUUAAAGAGCAAAUUAAUUAUAAUUAUUUUAUAAUUAAAAGCAAAAUUUUCUUUUAAUUAAUUACCAAAAAUAUAAAAAUUAUAUAAUUUUCUUCAUAAUGUUUUUAAUAUCAUUAAUAAUUAAUUAAAUAUUAAAAAAUUAUAUAUAUAUAUAUAUAUAUAUAUAUAUAUAUUAUAAUUUAUUUUAUAUUGUUUAAUACAAUUGAAUUAAAUGGAUCAUAUUUUAAUAUUAAUAUAUAUUUUAAAAUUAGACAUAUUGUAAUCAAAUAUCAUAAUAUUAUAUGUAAUUUAAUAAUAAAUGUACACUUAUAAAAUUCAUAUUUUUAUCGAUGCAUACAAUAUUAUUAUCAAAUAUGAUAAAUCAUGUUAUACAUAUAUCAAAAUUUUCAAUAAAAUAACUUUAAAAUGUCUAUUAUACUUCUAAUUAUAUUAUUAUGAGGUUUUCUUUACAUUUUCAUGAGUUUUAAACAAUUUUAAGCACCAAUAUUUUUUUCCAAAAUAUCCACCGAUAUAUCUCCGAUAUAUCCAAUAUAUCUCCGAUAUCUCCGAUAUAUCCGUAAAAUCGAAGUACCGAUAUAUCCGUGAUUACCGAUAUUUUCAUCAUUGCUUAGAUGCAACCUUCUUCCAAAUGACAUACUUUAGUCAAUACUUAUAUUUUUUCGUUUCACUUCUUUGAUACAACACCUCAUGGAUUUAUUGUUUAAUUUAUUUGUAAUUAUAAAACUAUUUUUCAUUUUUAAUAAGACUUGAAUUAAUUUAAUAAAUAUUAUAUAAUUUGAAUUUAUAAUUCUUUUUAUAAAAUCAAAGUAUAUUAAAAAAAAAACAAUUUAUCCGAAGAAAGUUUUUUAUUUUUUAUUUUUUAAAACCGAUUUUAAAAAUAACUAGCUAGACACCCUUAUUUUGAUAAAAUACGAAAUAAAAGUGUAAAAACAACAUGGCCAAAUAGGGGCUUAAAUUUUAUUUUUAAAACAUUUUUUUACACUAAAGUGCAUUUUAAAAACACCAUCAAAACCAACUACAAGUUAUGCUUCUUCCCGUAAUAGAAAUAUUUUAGGCCAAAAUAGAACCUCCCCAAAUAAAGACCCUAUACUAAACUCCUUUUCAUUUUAUUAAUACAAAAGUGGGGAAAAAAGGUCUAUGCUCACCUAAAAAACAUGAAUAUUGUGAAUUCACCAUUUCUAUAAGGAAGUUGAAAACUUCAAAAUUUUAUCAACAAAUUCUCUAAAAUCCUCAAAAUAUAUAGGGCCUGUUUCACAAAGUUUUUUAAAAUUUGUUUUUAUAAAUUGCUUUUAAAAUAUAGAAUAAAUAACAGUUUUUUAGAUUUUUUGAAAAAUAAGAGUGUUUGGUAAGAUGUUUUUUUUUUUUUUUUUUUUUUUAAGAAUUAAAUAAAAAAUAAAAAAAUUGUUUAGAUAAAAGAAUUUGUAUUGUUUUUAAAAACAAUGUCUUACUUUUAUGUUAUAAAAAUUUUAUUAAUUUAAUUUAUAAUAAUAUGAAAUGAAAUUCAAGUUAAGUCUUAUUAAAAAAUACAAAUUAAAUCUAUAAUUAUGCAUGAGUUAAAGAUAAAUAUAUAUUUUUUAAAACUAUAAAAUAAAUUUUCUAUUAUAGUGAAACAAAAAUUACUAUAAAAUAAAAAUAAUUUUAAUAUUCAUUUUUAAUACAAGUCAAAUAAGUACUUUAAUUAAUUUUUUUUAUCAUGAUUUCUUAUGUUUUUUUUUUUUUCUAGAAAUUAUUUUAAGUAAUAUAACUAAUUUUUUUUUUAAUGUUUUAUAAAAAUAAGGAUAUUUGGCAAGUUGUUUUUAUAAAAGGAUUUUAAAAAUAAAUGGAUUUUUUUUUUUUUUAAAAAAAGAACAAAAUGAUUUGUUUGAAUAAAUUGUUUUGAUUUUGUAAAAACAUUUUAAAUUCAAUUUAUAUAAUAUUAAUUAAUUAAAUUAAAUUGAAGUUUUAUUGAAAAUAAAAAUAAUUUUGUAAUUAAAAUUAGAUUAAAAAAUAUAUAGGUUUUAAUAAAUCGUAAAUAGUAAUAUUAUAAUAAAAUUAUAAAUUAUAUUUUUAACAUAAAAUAUACUAUUUAUUACAUAUUAAAAAAAAUAUUUUAUUAUAUUAAUAAUUUUAUGGUAUUAAUGAGUUUAUUAUUUAAGUUUUAAAUUAUUUUUAAAAAUUAAUAAAUUUGUUAACAAAUGCAAUGUACUAAAUGUGGUUUAAUUUGGAGUUAAUUUGUUUAGGGAAAAAAAUAAAAAAUAAAAAUCUUAUGUAAAAGAGAAAUAAUAGAGUGUGUGUGUUUUUUUUUAUUAUUUUUAAAAAUCAGUAAAAAGAACUUUUACUUAUUGCCUAAAAAUUAUUCUCUAUUUUAUUUUAUUUUUUAAAUCUAGAAAUAGAUAACAAUAAUAAAAAAAAUUAAAAAAGAAAAAUGUUUUUUAAAACUCAGACUUAUAAUUGCUUUUGUUUCUCAUUCGCACCCCUGGAUUCCUGGAUUCUAAACACAAAAUUAAGUUGAAUCGUCCAUCUAUCUUGUAAGCCAAGAAUUCACAUAGAAGAAAUAAUCGGAAUUUGAUUUGAUAUCAGAUUUAGAGUGGCUCACUACUCAUGCAUUGUCCCACAAUAGUAAUGCUUUGGGCCGAGAUAAACCCAUUUGUGGGCCCAAAUAAAACCCCUGGUUUGAAAACAUCGAUUUUACAGUGGCCCAAAAGAUUAUCUAUGAGGGGAAGAUAACUUGGAAGUCAAGCAAACACAUUUAUCGCUAACUUUUCUCUAAUUAUAAAAUUAUAACUUGGUCUUCUACACGUCUCACUUAAGAGGCGGAGCCACUUGGCACUACCUUUCCAUAUUGUAAAAGGAGAAGAAGCAGAAGGAGAAGAUUCUUAUGCCAUUCCACACACCAUGGCUAGUACUGCUAUGCUGCUUGGCCCGCCGGCUCUCCGCCAUCCUAAUUCUCCCGCCGGCACUGUCUUUGAAGAUGGGGUCAUUCUAACGGAUUCCCUGAUCGUCCGCACCAGUAAUCUGGAGCUUUCUGAAAAACCGCCACUGGAAUCCCUGGCGUAGUGCUCUGUCAGUGGGGAUAUUGCUAUGGAUUGUUUGGAUUCCCAAGCCCACAAUCUUCAUCUUCCCGGGAAACCGCCGAUGGGCUUAACGGAAAACAAGUCUCCGACCUUUUUGUCUUCCGGGAACCCGUGCUUGGACUUCUUCUUCCAUGUGGUUCCCGAUACGUCGUCUGAUGAUCUGAUCCGACGGUUUGAGUUGGCUUGGGAAUUCAAUCCGCUGACGACGUUAAAACUGAUAUGCAACUUGAGAGAGGUGAGAGGCACCGGAAAAUCUGACAAAGAGGGUUUCUACACGGCGGUUCUCUGGCUCCACGACCACCAUCCCAAAACCCUAGCCUGCAAUGCUAGGGUGUUGGCCAGCUUCGGUUAUUUCAAGGAUUUUCUCGAGAUUCUCUACCGGCUUCUGGAGGGCCCUAAAAUUCGAAGAAUCGAAAAGAAAGACUGGCUGGAUCGAAAAGGAAGGAAGAAAAAUUCCCGGAAAAGGAACUCAAUAUUCAAGCGAGAAAAUAGGCCUGGAGUUGAAUUUCCUGUAGAAGAGAAGGAUGUGGAGUAUAUGGUGGAAGAAUUUGUGGAUAAAGAAAAGGCUAGGGUACUGAGAAAGGAGAGAGAACUUGCUCUUGCCAAAAGAGCCCUGCACAAGUAUUCUACUGAUUCUAAUUAUCAGUUCUUACAUGAUCAGAUUUCAGAUUUAUUUGCUGAACUUCUGAAAUCUGAUAUUCAGUAUUUAAACUCCGGUGAGCUUUACAAGAUUAGUCUCGCAUCCAAAUGGUGUCCCACAAUUGAUUCUUCUUAUGAUAAAUCCACCUUGAUAUGUGAAAAUAUUGCUCGAAAGGUUUAUUCUCGCGAGGAAUAUAUAUCCAGAAUACCAAGGAAUUGAGGAGGCUCACUAUGUUAAUAGAGUCAGGGAUAGGUUGAGAAAACAAGUACUUGUUCCAUUACGUAAGGCCCUGGAGUUGCCAGAGGUUUUCAUGUGUUCGAACCAGUGGGGAUCACUUCCCUACAACCGUGUGGCUUCAGUGGCCAUGAAAUCAUACAAGAGCCUCUUCUCAAAACAUGAUACAGAGCGGUUUGGUGUGUAUCUUGAGAAAGUGCAAACUGGGAAGGCUAAGAUUGCAGCUGGUGCAUUACUUCCCCAUGAGAUUAUAGCUUCAUUGAAUGAGGAGGAUGGCGAGAAAGUUGCAGAGCUUCAGUGGGCGAGAAUGGUGGAAGAUUUAUCAAAGAAUGGGAGGCUCACAAAUUGCAGUGCGGUAUGUGACGUAUCAGGAAGUAUGAGUGGAACUCCAAUGAAGGUGUGUGUGGCUCUGGGGCUGUUAGUUUCAGAGCUCAGUGAAGAUCCAUGGAAAGGUAAUGUAAUUACUUUCAGUGCAAGUCCUGAGCUUCACAAGAUCCAAGGAGACAGCCUUGUAUCCAAGACUGAAUUUGUGAGGAUGAUGGAAUGGGGUGCGAACACUGAUUUUCAGAAAGUUUUUGACAGAAUCUUACAAGUAGCAGUGGAGGGAAAUCUGAGUGAAGAUCAAAUGAUAAAGAGGGUUUUCGUUUUCACUGAUAUGGAGUUUGAUGAAGCUUGUGGGAGGUAUAACUAUUGUGAAUAUGACUAUGAUAUGGAGGAAAUUGAUGAGAGUCAGAAGGCAUCUCAGAAGUGGGAGACAGAUUAUGAAGUGAUACAGCGGAAAUUCCAGGACAAAGGAUAUGGAAAAGUUCCGGAGAUAGUGUUUUGGAACCUUAGAAACUCAUCAGAGACUCCAGUGAUGGCCACAGAGAACGGGGUGGCCUUAGUAAGCGGGUUUUCGAAGAAUCUGUUAGACCUUGUUUUUGGAAGGAGGUGGAAUUCUGACCCCUCAGGAUGUGAUGGAAUUAGCCAUCUCUGGUGAAGAUUACAAGAAACUUGUUCUAUUUGAUUAAGAUAUCAAGAGAUUUAUCAAUAAUAAUAUGUUUUUUUUUUUCUAUGUGAAAUACAUGUAAUAUUAACUAUGGAGUUAUCAAAGUUCUGGAAAUUUAAUUAUUUCUUCUUUUCAAGUUUUGUUUGUCUUUGUUAGGAAUUCCCCUUGGGCGGACCCAGCUGGGGACUUGGAUUGAGGAAGUAAGGAGGCGAAAUUGUGUUCUUCUAUGGACAGAGAAAAAAGAUAAAAAUAAAAAAUAAAAAAGGAGGUUAUUUGCAUUUGGAUGUCAUGUGGUUUCAGGGUACAACUACAAGUUCGAAAUUGUACAUAAUGUGAAAAUUCCUGUGUGGAGAACAGCAUAAAUAUGUAUCUCAGUGUGUUUUGUUUGAGCUAAUUGGCAAAUUCGCUUUAAACAUGGUCACAUGGAUGCAUAUUUAUUUGUGAAAUGAUAGUAGUCGAUUACUUGGUCAGUAAGGUUUGUAUCUCUAACUCCAACAUCUUAUUGUAGUCUUUUAAAAUGUCAAAAGUUUAAUGCUAGCUUGAGAAAUUUUGGAAUGGAGACAUUCUAAACAAAGUUAAUAAUCCAUGAGACUUGGUAAAACCGAUCAGAUGAUGCUUACGUACAUGAAUGCCUUCUUUAAGCCGUAUCCUAUUUUCAUUGAAUGAGACGUGCCAUCUAGUUUUGUUCUUGUCUUGAUUGGAUCAUGAUCCCGGGAAUUGAUUACUGUUCUGAAUUUGCGAAUGUUCAAGGUAUUAGAGAAAGUUAAUAUUAUCGUUAAUUUACAUAUUAGUAUUUAUCUAGUUAUUAUAUAUUAGUUUGAAUUAUAAUAUAAUAUAGAAUUUGAAUCAAGUUUACUAUUAGUUUGAAUUACAAUAGGAAAUAAAGUUUGAAUUAUAGUAUAACUCAAAUAUAUUUGUAUAUAAAUAUCCAUCUUUAUCAAUGAGAAUAGUAAACCAUAUUUUUCUCUAUCUUCUUCUUUCUCUAUAUAUAUGGUAUCAAAGCCUCCAAAUCCUAAACCUAGUCUCAACUUAGAGCAAAUUUAGGGUGCAGGGUUUAGGCCCCGCCUCCCCCAACCCUUACCACAAAUGGUAGUGACCUUGUUAUGCCUAUGUAUUGUCAAUGCCUCAUUUUCUAUGGUCUUCAAUACAAUAUCUAGUUUCAAUGUCUCUUUCCUUACUAUCUCCAAUGCAAUAUAUUGAUUUCAAUAUCUCUUUACAACCAAGAGCUCCAAAUUUUCCUGGUUCAAAUCUACCAUAAUUUUUAUUCUCCUUUGCUUUUUACCAAUAUUAGUUCCCCUAAUUUAAUAUAUAUCUCUUUAUUACCUUCAACUCUACCUCUCUCUUUCUUUAAAAGCUUCCUCAAAGAUUUGAUUGCUUUCUUGCAUGUUUUGGGAAAACAAACAUGCUCAUAUUCUAUUACCUCUACUUGAGAUCUGCCUUAUACUCUACCUUCUUCUUUACCUCCUAUAUCAUCUACUACAUUAGCUUCAAAAACAUUAUUUAGUUUGAUGCUAAAUAAGGCUCCUAAUCCUACCCUUCCUUCAACUAACUUUCUUUUACAAGUCCCUCAAAGUUUUUUUUUUUUUUUUUUUGGAAAUUUGGCUUAGAAAGAUUUCAUUACUCUUACCUAAUCUUUCAACCAUCAAGUCGAAUCCACUUAUCUCUUGAAUCCAAGGAGACUACCCUCCACAAAAACAAGGAGAUUGACCCCCACAAUAACAAAGAGAUUGUCCUCCAUAGAAACAAAGAGAGCUUCCUUCAUGGAAGCCGAAUACAUCGCAAUCUAUUUUCUUUCUCUCAAGAUCAAAUCUCCAAUCGGAGCUCCAUCUUGUGGGGAUAUAUUAGAAAAAGUUAAUAUUAUCCUUAAUUUACAUAUUAGUAUUUAUCUAUAUUAUAUAUUGAAUUAGAAUAGAAUAUAGAAUUUGAAUUAAGUUUACUAUUAGUUUAAAUUACAAUAGGAAAUAGAGUUUGAAUUAUAGUAGAACUCAAAUAUAUUUAUAUAUAAAUAUCCAUCAUUAUCAAUGAGAAUAGUAUUCCAUAUUUUUCUCUUUCCCUGAGGCUUCAGAAUGUGAUCUUGAACAUUUGAUCUUUUGGAUUCUUCUUGUUUCGGUGGUUUAAUAUAAUGGAAUGUUUAAUUAUAGCCUACUUUAUCACCAUGGAUGUGCUCCUGCAGAUUUCUUGAGGGUGAUGGUUAUUUUGUCAUGUUUCUUGAAUGGUUUGCAUCAGCUGCCUGAGCUGUUGUUGCUGGUCACUUUUGCAACCAGGGAAAGAAUCAUGGCUUUGGAGAAGCCAGCUUCUGUUUUUGUUGCCCAGCUGUUAGUUCACUAAGAUUGGGGGUCCUAACAUGUAUGUAUAAUCAUAAGCAAGGAAAUUUUAUGUCUUACGCUAGAUAGGUACCAUGAUAUGAUGUUUGAUUGAUUUAUUAACUCUACCUGUUUCAAAAGGCAUCAACAUUAAUUUUACCCUUUUAACACAUUGGAUUGUUUGACCUUACGAGAUUUUCUAUUUCUGUACUAUUUGAACUGCAAUCGUUAUGGUCCUUAGGUCUCUAAACCUUCGUUUAAAAUAAAAGUAAGGAGCACACAUAGUAAAAGUUAAUUUUGGGUAACUUUUAAAACAAAGAGAAAAGUAAAAGUUGUUUUUGAGAAAAACAUAUAGAAAUUGAAAGAUUUUUUAUUUUGAGAAAAAAAAGUCAUAGAAAAGAAAUAAUAUCCCCAUAUAAGUAGAUAUGAUCUAUCCGAAGUGUAGCUACUCUCCUGGAUUUAUUCUAACAUUUUAAAAUUUUUCUCAAUGGGCAAAGGAAUAUCAAAUCAAGCUUGAGUAGGAUUAAUUUCUUAAUUUUUAAAAUAACUUAUAAUUAAAAUUUUUUGGUGUUUUCUUUUUUGGACAAUUUUUUAUGAAGACUCUGAAUCAUGCAAGAGAUAUGGUUAUUUUAAAAAAAAAAAUAAUUUAAAACUCAAAUACAUAAUCAAUGUCACAAAUUUAUAAACAAAAGGUUUUUAAAAAAUACUAUUAUUUCCCCUCUACACAUAAUUUUACUUUUCCGAUUUAUUUAUUUUUGUUGGAAAACAGUCUUCAAAUCAAGUAAAAUUAAUAUGUUAAAUUUGUUAAACAAAUAAAUUUUAAAAUACAAUUUGGAACUCAAAAAUCAAUUCAAGUAAUGCUAAAAUUCAAAAAAUCAAAUUUGGAAUAAAAUGACUUUGUAAAUUUUUUUACUAAACAAAUGAAUUUUAAAUCAAGUGAGAUUUAAUACAUUGGAUUUUUAUGAGAAUAGUAAUUUUAAAAAUUAAUUUGGAACUCAAAAAUAGACACAAUAAAUACCAAAAAUCAAUGAACCAAAAUUGGUUUGGAAUAACUCCAUAAUUUUUUAUUUAUUUAUAUAUUUAUUUUUUUGUGCACACGAAUUUCUUACUAAGCAUAUUGCUUCCAAAUUGAGAAAAAUUUACUAUUUAGAUUUUUUUAAUGAGUUUAAUGGUAUUUAAAAAUAAUUCAAAAAUUCGAAAAUUGACUAAUUUAAUAUUAUAAAUUCAUAAACCAAGACUAAUUCAAAAUGCAUUGGGGGCUAAGGGGGUUGAAAUUAAUGCUCCAUUUGGUUGUGGCCACCAAUUGGCAAUGGCCACCAAUCAACCAAUCAAGGUGGCUAAGGGGGUUGAAAAUAGGGACAAUGGGGUGGGUUUGGGACAGGACACUCAUAUCCCAUUCCCAUCCCAAUUACACAGUUAUUUCCCAUCCUUAUUCCAAACUUGUGUUGGGGCAAGUUGAUUUGUUCCCAUCUUUGUUAACGAAAUGACUAAUAACCUCAUCCUCUCCUUGUCUUAGAUGUACAUUUUCUCAAAUUUGGUCAGGUAUGAUUGAUUCAAGCCCUAACCUUAAUUGGUAAUGAGUGGAUACCACACCUAAUUGCAUUCUUCUUUCGUUGCAAAAUAAUGAGAUUAUAAUAAUCUAGCAAAUAAGAAAAAAUAGUAUGGAAGUUCAAAUUAACACCAUAACUAUCAAUAAUUUUAAGCUUAUAGAUGACUUAAAUGAUUGAAAACUAAUGCAAAAUACUAAAAAAAAAAAAAAUCAUCUAAAGAAUUCACAAGAGAAUAGAACGAACAAAACCAAAUAGGAACAUGGGUCAACAUUAGUUACAGAUUUUGAUCCCUUUCAAGGCCAAUCUUUGAACCAAGACUUCAUCAAAUCUACUACUUCAAAGGCUUUUGUGUUCUUCUUGAGUUGUACUCUGGAACAAAGACUUCGAGGUGAUGCUUUAGAUGAUUGCAUUACACAUAUUUAGGGUAGGGAGAUUGGAGAAGCUUGAAGAUGCCAACGAUGGGUACAAUUGAGUGGUCAAUAAGAACAAUGUGGCCUAUGACUAGUUUGAUGUCAUGGUAUAGGAGUUUUGGGCAUUGAGGUGAAAGCAAGAGCAACAUGGAAUUGAUUUCAAAGUCUUUCAAUUAGUGUAAAGGAGGAAGAAGAAGUGGUAUUGAUCCUAGAAAUAGUGUUUUAGGUGUUGCAUUAGAGGAAAAGAAAAAGAAAAAGAAGGAACCAUUGGAAUUAGUACGAGUGUGAAGAGAGAAGUGUAUACAUAAGGGGAAGUAAAAGCAAAGUUCUAAAAAUUUAUUUUUUUAUUGGUGGUGUAUGGUUGCAUGAUUAUCCCUAUAAAUAAUAGGAGUUUUUUGGUGUUCUACUAGUAGUUGAAGGAUAAUUUCAUAAGAUAAUAUUUAGAGCGGGGUGGGGUGAGUUGUGACAAAAUCCAUACCCGUCCCAAACAUUGGUUCAGGUUUUUAAAAUAUUUUCAAACUUAUCAUAUACCCAAUUUUAUAUUUCAUACUUGUCCUAAUAGAGACAGGUUAGUCAGGGUUACUUGAGUAGCCUACAAAACUAUCAUCCCUAGUUGAAAUGCUCUUUUUGGCAGUGGCAGCUAGAAGCUCGAUCGAUUGACCUACAAGACUAGUUGUCAUCAUUUUAAAAAGAGUUUUGGCUUUGGUUGUGAGUGCAAUUGAAUCUAAACUAACAUUUCCUUAAUGCAUCUACUUCAAUCCUAAACUUCUUACUUAAGCCUCAAUUGUUGUUAAGAUUUUGGAAAACCCAUUUCCUUAAAUUGUAAAUUUAAGAAAAAAAAAAUUAAAAGUGAGACAUUUCUUGAUUGAAUGUUGUUAAAGGUCCCUUGGAAUUAAGACUUGGUUGAAGCCUUGGAAGAUUAGCAGAACUCUCAACUUAUGUUUGAACCUUGAGGAGAGUGGACGUAGGCCAAAAUUUUGUCAAACCAUUAUACAAAUUGAGUUUGAAUUCUCAUUUCUUGAUUUCUUAUUUAUUUGCUUUUUCUUAUUAUUACUUGAAUUGUCAUUUGCAUUCAUUAAUGUUAAAAUUGGUUAUAAUUAGCCAACACUAAUUCUCUUUCCCCUUCCCUUAAUUUCUUGGGUGUAAACCUAGGUUGGAUUAACUAGAUUUUAUCAAAUCUAUUAAGAUGGUAAAAGAAUAAUUAUUCUUAACAUACAUAAGAUCAUCUUCAAUCAAAUGACUCAUUGGCUGAUAUGUUGAAUUUGCUUAUUACUUGCAACUCAAAAUUGUGUUCUAGUUGAUAUGUCAAGUCCUGAGUGUAUGGACAUUAAAUUUGUAGUACGUGAUGAGUAUUUAGAUGGUCCAAUUCCAAGAAAGUGAUUGAAAACUAGUUCAAGAAAGGUGCAAAAGGGAAUUGUUUUGGUAUUUUCGUUUUUAUUCUUGAAGGUGGCAGAGCUAAAAUUUGAGAAAUCAAGCAAAACAUACUGAAAUUACAUUGAAAGAAAGAAAAUGGGAGUUAAUGUCUUGCAGUACAUGAUAAGGACUUCAUGCAUGUAGUGUGACCCAUGUCUUGGACUGAUGCCACACUCACGGUUACACUUAUACCCUUAGUUCUCUCUUUACUACCUUAGCUAACCUAGAUCAGGUUAUGAGAUAGGCACCUCACCACACCAUUACUUGCCCAUUAAUUAGUGACAUUUUCAAGCAAUGAGGUAACAUGGUGACACCAAGAGGGUAUAUUCCUCACCCCCAACAAGCCUAGACCUGGUCUAAAAAAAAUGGAGAAAAAUGACGUGUUGUUAUGCAGAAAUAUAGCAACCAUGCCUUCCUCAUUACUUAGAUUCAGAAUGUGAAGGUGAAAUUGAGAAACAGAAACUCUUGAAACCAAAAUGAAAAUUGAUACUUUUACGAAGAAUUACAACAACAUUAGAGGAAGACUACAUUCUUCCUCUUUAUUCCUACAUUUCUACACUACUUCUACUCCACUCCAUAUUUCUACAUACAUCUUUAAUCAGUCUUCCCUCCUUUAUAUAGAGCCAUCUUCACACAAAUUCCGCAAGGUAGAAAAGAGGAAUGAAACUUGGAGCAAGGUUCGACUACUGGCUGUAGCUUGUCAAGGCUGAAAGUGAACUUUUUUUCUUGGCUUUUCUGGGCAUAGGUAGUAACUUGUAGGUUCCUUUUUGGAAUGAAAAUGGUACGGCUAGAACAUGUGGCACUCUCUUGUUGGAUGAUGUGUCAAGCAUGUGGCAGCCAUCUAGUGGAGAUUAUGUCAAUUUUGGGAUGGAGAGUUGGCAUCCAAUUGCAAAGAAAUAUGACAUCUACCAACAUGCAAUGUCAACCUAUGUAGAUCAUAUGAAGAUAGAGAGGAAAAAUAUAGAAAUGGAUAUAUAACUAGAACUAGCUUUUUAUUAAAUGAGACGGAGAGCCAACAAUGAAGGAAAAUCAAAAUUUUUGGCUCAUAUCAAAGAAUUCACAUUGUGUUACCCUAGGUUUUCUUAAAACUUACUUUUAUGAUAAUAAAAAAUCAUUAUUGUUUAAUCCUUUGUUUUAAACGCAUGUUUAGCAGGUUGUAAAAUGUAAAUAUCUUUCGAAAUUCAAAUAUGAAGAUAUGACAUCAUUUCAAGCAAUAUAGUCUCUAGGAAUUAAUGUAAAGCUAAAUUAAGGUGCAAUUAAGUUAGUUCAAUGCAUUAUUUUAAGAAACUUGACCUAUCAAAACCUUGUCUUACUUCAAAGCCUCUUUUUCUUUUCUUCCAACUAACAUUUUAAUAAGUGAUCGCAAAAGUACAAAAUUAGAUGAAAUCCAUUUCAAUGGUUAAAAUGAUCAAAUUCAAACUUUUUCUAAGUAUCUUUUAAAAGCAUCAAUAUUGAAAGACAAUUUUAUAUUUAGUCAAAGCUUGGACAGAGCCAAAAAGCACACAAAAAUUUAUAUUUUCUAGCUCUCUACCUUGGAUGGUCUCUUGAUCCUACUUGGAGAUGUGCAUAAAUAAAAGGAUUUGAAAAUGACAAUUGACUAAGUAUGUAGUCAAUCAAUUACUCAUUGAUUGACUAGUUGAUCAAUUAACUUUGCAACAUCAUAUGCAAUCCUAAUAGCUAGUCAUCUAAUCAACUAGGUAGUAAAUCAAUAGGCCAAAAAUAUGUUUAUAAUGACUAUUUUGUACAAAAACCACUUAUAUAGUUAAAUAUAAUGCAUUUCAUUUAUAAAUCUUCUAAUUCUUGAAUAACAAUCCUAUCAUCCUUUGAAAGUUUUUAUUACACCUUUUCUACAUUUGUUCUAAAACUUAUACAUCACCCUUAAUUGUACCAUGAGAACCUAGCAUUUUUUUUUUUUUUUUUGUAUUUCAUCAAAGUUAGCUCUUGUACUCAUUGUUGUAUUAUUUUUAUUGUAACUUAGAGAGCGAGUGUUUUCAAGUGAGUGAAAUUGACUUGUAAAUAUUGUAAAGAUUCAUUGAUAUGUAUCUCAAACUAGGUGUACAAGUUGAAACAUUUGCUAGUAGAUUUUCUCAAGAUUUAGAAUGAGCUUAAGGCUAUCGAAUUAGGUGGGGUUGCGCCAAACCAUAUCACAUCGUUGUUUGCACCUUUUUUUUCACUCUCUUUUACUUAGUUGCUCUAUAUAUAUUGUCUAGCAAUAUCCUAAAGGCUUGAUGGGCUAGGGAGCAUCCCUCUGAAUGAAAAAUUUUCAUUCAAUUCUUAGUUGUAUUACGCAUAUAUAAAAUGCCUCAUUGUUUUAAUGGUAUUCAGUCGUGGCACCACAGAUAUGGACAUCUAAAUUUUAAAAGUUUGAAACUUUUAGCUAAAGAAAAUAUGGUGCUUUGCCUUUUUGGAAAGCAUGUUGAUGAAAUCCAUGAGAAUUGUAUACUUGGAGAGCAACAUCGAGAUAACUUUUUUUUUUUCUUUUUUUAUAAUGCAUUGUUUGUCCAAAUUCCGUACAAAUUAGGCCACCACAUGUUCAUAAUUCUCCCUUCUUGAAUUUGAAAACUCGGACAAUUUGACAAUGCGACACCUAAGUCCGGUUUUUAAAUGCUAAAGUGAAAGGGCAGGUAUGGACCAUUGAAAUGUGAUAACAACUUUUGGCCUUUUCCUUUUCUCUGUAGCCAUGUUGUCUCUUUUUAAUUUCUUUUGCAUGAUUUUCUUACCUAAACAGAAUCAUAGACUUGUUUAAUCUCUAAGUGGGAUUUCAUCCACCUUAAGCUACUGUAUUAUAUCUCGGUGGAGGACAACCGACAUAGAGCACAUGCAAGUGGGUAUAUGGGACAUGAAAUAUCUUCUUAUAAAGCUUGUUUUGCAGUUAAAUUAAUUGGAUAAGUAGACACUGGCGUUUCUAAAUUUCCCACCUAAGAUAAUGACCUUAUCCUUGACUGCUAGAUACACAAACAAUUAUACCUUCAAAAUCUACUGUGAAGUGCUUCAUGUAUGUGUGAAGUAUUAGAAAUUUCUUUCUUGGCAACUUGUUUUUUUCUUUGCGGUCUACUGAUAGGUUUGACUAAAAUUAUAUUCCCUGUCCUGCUAAUUAAUUUUCACGUGCAUGCUCAAAAGAAGAGUAUGACCUUAGUGCACCAAAAUCACUUUCAAUAAUUUGUGAUAAGUUUUUUUGCAUGACAUUAACCUUAUUCAUUUAGAUAAUGUUUAGUUCUCAUAAAUAUUAAGAAAAUGAAAAUAAAUAUUAAGAAAAAUAUUCUUAUAUUUGAUUGUAUUAUGAAAAAUAUCAUAAAAAAUCAAAUAUAAUUAAAAUUAAUUAAUAAUUUAUAUAUUUUAAAAUUAUUUAAUUUUUAUAUUAAAGAUAUAAUAUAAAUGAAAUGAGUUUUAAGUAUUAUAUAAAAAUGAUUUAUUUAUUUAUUUAUAUAUAUAUAUAUAUAUAUAUUUAGUUUUUCUCUUUAUUUUAUUUUCCUUAUGUUUUCCUCACAUUUUCCGGAAUCAAAGAUAGGGAAAUCCACAAUUACCUUCAACUGAGUAGAUUCUAUUGUUUUAGCAAUGUUAGGCUGCUAACUUGUGGUGGUACGAACCAAAUGAUCCAUGUUAAUCUUGGCUUGAUUUAAUUUGGCUCUAUCUCAGAGAACUCAAGGAUCACGUCAACUCUGGUUUCUACUAUUCAGGUCCAUUCCCAGAUGAACUGGUUCAAAUUUGAGAAAAUGGUAACAGACCUUUAGUGAUAUUGGUUUGGAGCCAGUUGCCAAACCUGCCCUGAGCUUUACCACUAAUGUCAAGGGACAAAGCCAUUUGAACAAAAACAAUAGCUUCAAGAGACUGAAUCGUGGAUGAAAUCUGAUCCACAUUUCUUCUCAUUUUGGGAAAAAAUGAGGACUUAACCACAAAGAUUCUACUGCCUCAUAGUGCUUUUCCUGAUCUAAGGUUGGCUCGUUUCCCAAAUUGUGAGGUGCACGUGCCACUCUCACGCUCAGGAGUGUAUCCACGUGGUGGACAUAAGAUGGUGGCUUAAUAUCUGGUGUCGGUGGCUUUACUUUACUAGGAGAGUAGUGUGUCUUCAUCUCAUUCACUGCCAGAGGGUGGCGUAAGCAGUGACGCUAAGGUGGGGCACAGUCAAUAUCAUUUGCAUUUGACCAUUAUAAUUUUCUCCCGGCUUUAAAGUAACCUUAUCGUGAUAAUGGAUUACUAGCACUAGUUCAGAUGACAGUCAUGUUAAAUUCGGACCAUGUUUGUGUCACAUUAUCAGCAACCAUGUGCUUGUGGUUCAUGCUAUCUGCAACUAAACUUGAUAUAUAACCAGGUGAACUUCAAUCUAAAUUCUGGAAGUACUCAUGUGAUAGAUGGUGCCUGUCUGCAGUGAGUGUAUCUAUAAGAGGGAAGGCUUGGCAAAUGUUCAGUUUUCUGGGAAUUCAACAGGGAUCUAAAAUAGAUUGUUUUCUUUGCUGAUUUCAAUGGUUGAAAUUUGAGAAGAUUGUGUCCACAUAACACAACUAUUACUGGUCCUUCUGUUGCAAUUUAUCCUCUAAGGCUCUAACAUGUCUUCCAAUUCCCACUUCCCACUUCCCUGUUACUCCAGGAAAGCUGUUUCUGUCAUUGUGAAGAAGAAAAGAGACUGUACAUAUCGAUGCUUUUAAGUGGACUGGAGAAUUCAUAUCAGGUGGUCUGCAGCCAUACAUGCCACUUUGUGAAGGUUGGAACAGUCAAUCACUAGGCUAUAUUAGUGGGGCCCAGCCACUUCAAUCAAGGACAAGUCUUCAUACUUAAAGUCAAAUUCUGCCUUUAGUCUCAUUAUAAAUUGCUGUUUAAAUAUCAAGCAAACAUUUGUUUAAUGCGAUUAAGACAGCACUAACUCAAUACUUGUUCUAUUUUUGGAUGCAAAUGCUUGAUAGUUUCAUCAUUGGAGGGGAUAAAGGUGCAUUCAUGAUUAUGAAUACUUGUAGUUAUAUUUUCAUUCUCUUUUUUCUCAAUGGGACUUGUUGGCACAAUUUUGCUGUUCAGAAACCUACCUCUCCAUGGAAAAUCAGUUGUGAUUGAUAUUACUGGAUAUAUUCAAGAAAGCUAAAUGUAGAUAGCACAAAAUAUUAUCGACAUAAAUAGCAUUAACAGCGUACGUAUGUCUCAAUGCUCAUCAGCUAUAAGCAAGGGGCAAACACUUACUAUGAGCAACUUACGUCAAAAUUCCGGAAUAGGACAUAGAAGUGACAGGUCAGUAAAUAUAGAACACUGCAUAUGAGUCACAAGAAAGGAAAUUACGGGUACAUAGCAGCUCUUAUUUUACAUCCUACUCAUACUGAUCAAAGUCACUCAGUUGGGAUGGGUGGGAGUGGGAGGUUUGUGGGGUGGCUUGUGCGGAGGAGUUGGCAGCUUCUUUCCAGGACCUGGUUGCUUCUCUGCUGGAGUUGAAGGAGGCUUAAUCUUCCGAGGUGGCUUGUAUGAGUCUUCAGCAUUCUCAGCAGGAGGGUGACCAGGGUUGUGACCACAAUGUGGUGGCUUCUCUCCCUUAGGUGGUUUGCCAACUGGGGUUGGUGGCUUGUGUUCCGGAAGUGGCUUCUCUUUGUGUUCAGGAGGUGGCUUCUCCACUGGAGGCUUGUGUUCAGGAGGUGGCUUCUCCACCGGAGGCUUGUGUUCAGGAGGUGGCUUCUCCACCGGAGGCUUGUGUUCAGGAGGUGGCUUCUCCACCGGAGGCUUAUGCUCUGGUGGUGGCUUCUCCACCGGAGGCUUAUGCUCUGGUGGUGGCUUCUCCACCGGAGGCUUAUGCAAUGGUGGUGGCUUCUCCACCGGAGGCUUGUGUUCAGGAGGUGGCUUCUCUACCGGAGGCUUAUGCUCUGGUG